rnacentral:misc_RNA from 1 species
UAAAAAAAAAAAAAAAACUCAGAAGCUCAUCAACUAAAUGUUUAUGGUAAUGGCUGUACAAUCCUUAGAUUUUGCUAAGUAACAUUCCAUUCAAACUAUCAUUCAAGAUUUUCCUCCCCAACACAACAACAACCCCACCCACACAACACCACCACAAAACAAAGUGAUAUGAUAAGAAUAUAACUCCGAUUACAGCUAUGGCAUUGCACACCUUCCCAAUUCCCAUGGACAUAUGACGAACCAAACUGCAAAAUCAAAAAUGUUUGAUUUGACAUUGCAUUUGAAACCCAUUUCGAUAAUAAGGUGAUAACAGCAAAAGCUACCCAAAAUAUUCAAUUUCCAAGUAUAA